CUGGCGGCGUGCCUAAUACAUGCAAGUAGAACGCUGAAGAGAGGAGCUUGCUCUUCUUGGAUGAGUUGCGAACGGGUGAGUAACGCGUAGGUAACCUGCCUGGUAGCGGGGGAUAACUAUUGGAAACGAUAGCUAAUACCGCAUAAAAUGGAUUAUCGCAUGAUAAUUCAUUGAAAGGUGCAAAUGCAUCACUACCAGAUGGACCUGCGUUGUAUUAGCUAGUUGGUGGGGUAACGGCUCACCAAGGCGACGAUACAUAGCCGACCUGAGAGGGUGAUCGGCCACACUGGGACUGAGACACGGCCCAGACUCCUACGGGAGGCAGCAGUAGGGAAUCUUCGGCAAUGGACGGAAGUCUGACCGAGCAACGCCGCGUGAGUGAAGAAGGUUUUCGGAUCGUAAAGCUCUGUUGUAAGAGAAGAACGAGUGUGAGAGUGGAAAGUUCACACUGUGACGGUAUCUUACCAGAAAGGGACGGCUAACUACGUGCCAGCAGCCGCGGUAAUACGUAGGUCCCGAGCGUUGUCCGGAUUUAUUGGGCGUAAAGCGAGCGCAGGCGGUUAGAUAAGUCUGAAGUUAAAGGCUGUGGCUUAACCAUAGUACGCUUUGGAAACUGUUUAACUUGAGUGCAAGAGGGGAGAGUGGAAUUCCAUGUGUAGCGGUGAAAUGCGUAGAUAUAUGGAGGAACACCGGUGGCGAAAGCGGCUCUCUGGCUUGUAACUGACGCUGAGGCUCGAAAGCGUGGGGAGCA
rnacentral:rRNA from 1 species